rnacentral:rRNA from 1 species
GGUCAAGUGAAGAAGCGCAUACGGUGGAUGCCUUGGCAGUCAGAGGCGAUGAAAGACGUGGUAGCCUGCGAAAAGCUUCGGGGAGUCGGCAAACAGACUUUGAUCCGGAGAUCUCUGAAUGGGGGAACCCACCUAGGAUAACCUAGGUAUCUUGUACUGAAUCCAUAGGUGCAAGAGGCGAACCAGGGGAACUGAAACAUCUAAGUACCCUGAGGAAAAGAAAUCAACCGAGAUUCCCUUAGUAGUGGCGAGCGAACGGGGAUUAGCCCUUAAGCUUCAUUGAUUUUAGCGGAACGCUCUGGAAAGUGCGGCCAUAGUGGGUGAUAGCCCCGUACGCGAAAGGAUCUUUGAAGUGAAAUCGAGUAGGACGGAGCACGAGAAACUUUGUCUGAACAUGGGGGGACCAUCCUCCAAGGCUAAAUACUACUGACUGACCGAUAGUGAACCAGUACCGUGAGGGAAAGGCGAAAAGAACCCCGGAGAGGGGAGUGAAAUAGAACCUGAAACCGUAUGCGUACAAGCAGUGGGAGCCUACUUGUUAGGUGACUGCGUACCUUUUGUAUAAUGGGUCAGCGACUUAUAUUCAGUGGCAAGCUUAACCGUAUAGGGUAGGCGUAGCGAAAGCGAGUCUUAAUAGGGCGUUUAGUCGCUGGGUAUAGACCCGAAACCGGGCGAUCUAUCCAUGAGCAGGUUGAAGGUUAGGUAACACUGACUGGAGGACCGAACCCACUCCCGUUGAAAAGGUAGGGGAUGACUUGUGGAUCGGAGUGAAAGGCUAAUCAAGCUCGGAGAUAGCUGGUUCUCCUCGAAAGCUAUUUAGGUAGCGCCUCAUGUAUCACUCUGGGGGGUAGAGCACUGUUUCGGCUAGGGGGUCAUCCCGACUUACCAAACCGAUGCAAACUCCGAAUACCCAGAAGUGCCGAGCAUGGGAGACACACGGCGGGUGCUAACGUCCGUCGUGAAAAGGGAAACAACCCAGACCGCCAGCUAAGGUCCCAAAGUUGUGGUUAAGUGGUAAACGAUGUGGGAAGGCUUAGACAGCUAGGAGGUUGGCUUAGAAGCAGCCAUCCUUUAAAGAAAGCGUAAUAGCUCACUAGUCGAGUCGGCCUGCGCGGAAGAUGUAACGGGGCUCAAACCACACACCGAAGCUGCGGGUGUCACGUAAGUGACGCGGUAGAGGAGCGUUCUGUAAGCCUGUGAAGGUGAGUUGAGAAGCUUGCUGGAGGUAUCAGAAGUGCGAAUGCUGACAUGAGUAACGACAAUGGGUGUGAAAAACACCCACGCCGAAAGACCAAGGGUUCCUGCGCAACGUUAAUCGACGCAGGGUUAGUCGGUUCCUAAGGCGAGGCUGAAAAGCGUAGUCGAUGGGAAACAGGUUAAUAUUCCUGUACUUCUGGUUACUGCGAUGGAGGGACGGAGAAGGCUAGGCCAGCUUGGCGUUGGUUGUCCAAGUUUAAGGUGGUAGGCUGAAAUCUUAGGUAAAUCCGGGGUUUCAAGGCCGAGAGCUGAUGACGAGUCGUCUUUUAGAUGACGAAGUGGUUGAUGCCAUGCUUCCAAGAAAAGCUUCUAAGCUUCAGGUAACCAGGAACCGUACCCCAAACCGACACAGGUGGUCGGGUAGAGAAUACCAAGGCGCUUGAGAGAACUCGGGUGAAGGAACUAGGCAAAAUGGCACCGUAACUUCGGGAGAAGGUGCGCCGGCUAGGGUGAAGGAUUUACUCCGUAAGCUCUGGCUGGUCGAAGAUACCAGGCCGCUGCGACUGUUUAUUAAAAACACAGCACUCUGCAGAAGCUCUUGAUCGAAGCCCCGGUAAACGGCGGCCGUAACUAUAACGGUCCUAAGGUAGCGAAAUUCCUUGUCGGGUAAGUUCCGACCUGCACGAAUGGCGUAACGAUGGCGGCGCUGUCUCCACCCGAGACUCAGUGAAAUUGAAAUCGCUGUGAAGAUGCAGUGUAUCCGCGGCUAGACGGAAAGACCCCGUGAACCUUUACUGUAGCUUUGCACUGGACUUUGAGCCUGCUUGUGUAGGAUAGGUGGGAGGCUUUGAAGCGUGGACGCCAGUUCGCGUGGAGCCAUCCUUGAAAUACCACCCUGGCAUGCUUGAGGUUCUAACUCUGGUCCGUGAUCCGGAUCGAGGACAGUGUAUGGUGGGCAGUUUGACUGGGGCGGUCUCCUCCUAAAGAGUAACGGAGGAGUACGAAGGUGCGCUCAGACCGGUCGGAAAUCGGUCGCAGAGUAUAAAGGCAAAAGCGCGCUUGACUGCGAGACAGACACGUCGAGCAGGUACGAAAGUAGGUCUUAGUGAUCCGGUGGUUCUGUAUGGAAGGGCCAUCGCUCAACGGAUAAAAGGUACUCCGGGGAUAACAGGCUGAUACCGCCCAAGAGUUCAUAUCGACGGCGGUGUUUGGCACCUCGAUGUCGGCUCAUCACAUCCUGGGGCUGAAGCCGGUCCCAAGGGUAUGGCUGUUCGCCAUUUAAAGUGGUACGCGAGCUGGGUUUAGAACGUCGUGAGACAGUUCGGUCCCUAUCUGCCGUGGACGUUUGAGAUUUGAGAGGGGCUGCUCCUAGUACGAGAGGACCGGAGUGGACGAACCUCUGGUGUUCCGGUUGUCACGCCAGUGGCAUUGCCGGGUAGCUAUGUUCGGAAAAGAUAACCGCUGAAAGCAUCUAAGCGGGAAACUUGCCUCAAGAUGAGAUCUCACUGGGAACUUGAUUCCCCUGAAGGGCCGUCGAAGACUACGACGUUGAUAGGCUGGGUGUGUAAGCGUUGUGAGGCGUUGAGCUAACCAGUACUAAUUGCCCGUGAGGCUUGACCAU